GGUACGGGCUGUGAUGACGAGGAGUGGGCUAGUCUCCCGGGUCGGUCACCGCUGAACUCUCAGGCUAUAAUCCUCAAUAGGAGGAAGCACUCAAUUGAACAAGUGCAGGAACCAGCUGGCUGCCUCAGCACUGACAGAAGCAAAUUCCAUUUGCUUGGACCCACUGCAUUCCAUCCCUUGUGGAAGAGAGCAUGUAAGCAAGUGAGUGCAGGAACUGGCUGGCUGCUUUGGUGCUGGCAGGAGCAAACACCAUGAAGGCCCCAUGGCAGAGUCCAG
rnacentral:lncRNA from 1 species